GACGAACGCUGGCGGCGUGCUUAACACAUGCAAGUCGAACGGAAAGGCCCUGCUUUUGUGGGGUGCUCGAGUGGCGAACGGGUGAGUAACACGUGAGUAACCUGCCCUUGACUUUGGGAUAACUUCAGGAAACUGGGGCUAAUACCGGAUAGGAGCUCCUGCUGCAUGGUGGGGGUCGGAACGUAUCGGCGGAUGGGGAUGGACUCGCGGCUUAUCAGCUUGUUGGUGGGGUAGUGGCCUACCAAGGCUUUGACGGGUAGCCGGCCUGAGAGGGUGAACGGCCUCAUUGCGACUGAGGGAGGGCGCAGACUCGUACGGGAGGCAGUGGUGGGGAAUAUUGCACAAUGAGCGGAAGCGUGAUGCAGCAACGCCGCGUGCGUGAUGACGGCCUUCGGGUUGUAAACCGCUUUCGCCUGUGACGAAGCGUGAGUGACGGUAAUAGGUAAAGAAGCACCGGCUAACUACGUG
rnacentral:rRNA from 1 species